rnacentral:rRNA from 1 species
GACGAACGCUGGCGGCGUGCUUAACACAUGCAAGUCGAACGGUAAGGCCCUGCUUUUGUGGUGUGCUCGAGUGGCGAACGGGUGAGUAACACGUGAGUAACCUGCCCUUUACUUUGGGAUAACUUCAGGAAACUGGAGCGAAUACCGGAUAUGAGCUCGGGUGGCAUGUUUGGGGUUGUAAAGUUUCGGCGGUUGGGGACGAACUGGCGGCUCUGCAGCUUGUUGGUGGGUUAGUGGCUUACCAAGGCGUUGACGGGUAGCCGGCCUGCGAGGGUGACCGGCCACAUUGGGACUGGGGAAGGAGCCAGAGUCAUACGGGAGGAAGCAGUGGAGAAUAUUGCACAAUGGGCGGAAGCCGGAUGGAGGAACGCCGCGUGGGGGAUGACGGUCUUCGGGUUGGAACGCGCUUGCGCCUGGGACGAAGCGUGUGUGACGGUAAUGGGUAAAGAAGCAACGGCUAACUACGUG